rnacentral:rRNA from 1 species
UAAGCGACUAAGCGUACACGGUGGAUGCCCUGGCAGUCAGAGGCGAUGAAGGACGUGCUAAUCUGCGAUAAGCGUCGGUAAGGUGAUAUGAACCGUUAUAACCGGCGAUUUCCGAAUGGGGAAACCCAGUGUGUUUCGACACACUAUCAUUAACUGAAUCCAUAGGUUAAUGAGGCGAACCGGGGGAACUGAAACAUCUAAGUACCCCGAGGAAAAGAAAUCAACCGAGAUUCCCCCAGUAGCGGCGAGCGAACGGGGAGCAGCCCAGAGCCUGAAUCAGUGUGUGUGUUAGUGGAAGCGUCUGGAAAGGCGCGCGAUACAGGGUGACAGCCCCGUACACAAAAAUACACAUACUGUGAGCUCGAUGAGUAGGGCGGGACACGUGGUAUCCUGUCUGAAUAUGGGGGGACCAUCCUCCAAGGCUAAAUACUCCUGACUGACCGAUAGUGAACCAGUACCGUGAGGGAAAGGCGAAAAGAACCCCGGCGAGGGGAGUGAAAAAGAACCUGAAACCGUGUACGUACAAGCAGUGGGAGCACGCUUAGGCGUGUGACUGCGUACCUUUUGUAUAAUGGGUCAGCGACUUAUAUUCUGUAGCAAGGUUAACCGAAUAGGGGAGCCGAAGGGAAACCGAGUCUUAACUGGGCGUUAAGUUGCAGGGUAUAGACCCGAAACCCGGUGAUCUAGCCAUGGGCAGGUUGAAGGUUGGGUAACACUAACUGGAGGACCGAACCGACUAAUGUUGAAAAAUUAGCGGAUGACUUGUGGCUGGGGGUGAAAGGCCAAUCAAACCGGGAGAUAGCUGGUUCUCCCCGAAAGCUAUUUAGGUAGCGCCUCGUGAAUUCAUCUCCGGGGGUAGAGCACUGUUUCGGCAAGGGGGUCAUCCCGACUUACCAACCCGAUGCAAACUGCGAAUACCGGAGAAUGUUAUCACGGGAGACACACGGCGGGUGCUAACGUCCGUCGUGAAGAGGGAAACAACCCAGACCGCCAGCUAAGGUCCCAAAGUCAUGGUUAAGUGGGAAACGAUGUGGGAAGGCCCAGACAGCCAGGAUGUUGGCUUAGAAGCAGCCAUCAUUUAAAGAAAGCGUAAUAGCUCACUGGUCGAGUCGGCCUGCGCGGAAGAUGUAACGGGGCUAAACCAUGCACCGAAGCUGCGGCAGCGACGCUGAUGCGUUGUUGGGUAGGGGAGCGUUCUGUAAGCCUGCGAAGGUGUGCUGUGAGGCAUGCUGGAGGUAUCAGAAGUGCGAAUGCUGACAUAAGUAACGAUAAAGCGGGUGAAAAGCCCGCUCGCCGGAAGACCAAGGGUUCCUGUCCAACGUUAAUCGGGGCAGGGUGAGUCGACCCCUAAGGCGAGGCCGAAAGGCGUAGUCGAUGGGAAACAGGUUAAUAUUCCUGUACUUGGUGUUACUGCGAAGGGGGGACGGAGAAGGCUAUGUUGGCCGGGCGACGGUUGUCCCGGUUUAAGCGUGUAGGCUGGUUUUCCAGGCAAAUCCGGAAAAUCAAGGCUGAGGCGUGAUGACGAGGCACUACGGUGCUGAAGCAACAAAUGCCCUGCUUCCAGGAAAAGCCUCUAAGCAUCAGGUAACAUCAAAUCGUACCCCAAACCGACACAGGUGGUCAGGUAGAGAAUACCAAGGCGCUUGAGAGAACUCGGGUGAAGGAACUAGGCAAAAUGGUGCCGUAACUUCGGGAGAAGGCACGCUGAUAUGUAGGUGAAGUCCCUCGCGGAUGGAGCUGAAAUCAGUCGAAGAUACCAGCUGGCUGCAACUGUUUAUUAAAAACACAGCACUGUGCAAACACGAAAGUGGACGUAUACGGUGUGACGCCUGCCCGGUGCCGGAAGGUUAAUUGAUGGGGUCAGCGCAAGCGAAGCUCUUGAUCGAAGCCCCGGUAAACGGCGGCCGUAACUAUAACGGUCCUAAGGUAGCGAAAUUCCUUGUCGGGUAAGUUCCGACCUGCACGAAUGGCGUAAUGAUGGCCAGGCUGUCUCCACCCGAGACUCAGUGAAAUUGAACUCGCUGUGAAGAUGCAGUGUACCCGCGGCAAGACGGAAAGACCCCGUGAACCUUUACUAUAGCUUGACACUGAACAUUGAGCCUUGAUGUGUAGGAUAGGUGGGAGGCUUUGAAGUGUGGACGCCAGUCUGCAUGGAGCCGACCUUGAAAUACCACCCUUUAAUGUUUGAUGUUCUAACGUUGACCCGUAAUCCGGGUUGCGGACAGUGUCUGGUGGGUAGUUUGACUGGGGCGGUCUCCUCCUAAAGAGUAACGGAGGAGCACGAAGGUUGGCUAAUCCUGGUCGGACAUCAGGAGGUUAGUGCAAUGGCAUAAGCCAGCUUGACUGCGAGCGUGACGGCGCGAGCAGGUGCGAAAGCAGGUCAUAGUGAUCCGGUGGUUCUGAAUGGAAGGGCCAUCGCUCAACGGAUAAAAGGUACUCCGGGGAUAACAGGCUGAUACCGCCCAAGAGUUCAUAUCGACGGCGGUGUUUGGCACCUCGAUGUCGGCUCAUCACAUCCUGGGGCUGAAGUAGGUCCCAAGGGUAUGGCUGUUCGCCAUUUAAAGUGGUACGCGAGCUGGGUUUAGAACGUCGUGAGACAGUUCGGUCCCUAUCUGCCGUGGGCGCUGGAGAAUUGAGGGGGGCUGCUCCUAGUACGAGAGGACCGGAGUGGACGCAUCACUGGUGUUCGGGUUGUCAUGCCAAUGGCACUGCCCGGUAGCUAAAUGCGGAAGAGAUAAGUGCUGAAAGCAUCUAAGCACGAAACUUGCCCCGAGAUGAGUUCUCCCUGACUCCUUGAGAGUCCUGAAGGAACGUUGAAGACGACGACGUUGAUAGGCCGGGUGUGUAAGCGCAGCGAUGCGUUGAGCUAACCGGUACUAAUGAACCGUGAGGCUUAACCU